CUAACGUCGUCACAGACAACGUUGCUUCAGAUUCAGAAGACACACAAGUUCUCCUCUGGCCCUUUAUGCCAUUUGGGAUAGGAGGCCGUGAGGUUUGUGCGGGCAAUAGAUUUGAAAUAGUUUGGGUUAAAGAAAAUUCUGGAAGCGGACAUGUGGAUGGUCGUUAAGAGGCAGGAAACCAGCGUGUUUCUGAAAGUGUCGUGGAGACGAAUGUGUGACCAUCUCCCUGAGAAACAGCAGGGCUAAGGAAGGUGGGGGCCCGCCCGCCCGCCGGCUCGCGGCAGGGGCAGAACGUGGCCGGUUUAAACCGGCACUUCGAGGCGCCUGGGUGGCUCAGUCUGUUAAGCGUCCCACUUUGGCUCGGGUCACGAUCUCACGGUGUGUGAGUUCAAGCCCCGCGUCGGGCUCUGUGCUGACAGCGCGGAGCCUGCUUGGGAUUCUCUCUCCCUCUCUCUAUGCUCGUCCCCCAUUCUUGCUAUCUCAAAAUAAUAAUAAUGAUAAAAAAAUAAAAAGAAAGAGCAGCUUCAGUCUAAACUAAAUCCCACGUUUCUUCAUGCCCUAGUGUUGGAAAAGAGCGUCCCGACCACACAGGCUGUGACUUCAGAGUGAAGUCAGGCCCGCCGAUAGUGACUUAACGCCGGUGGAGACAUCGCUGGCCCUUGGCUAAACGUUCCAGAGGCUUCAGCACCAAUCCUCUUGCCGGCCCCUUGGCUCUGAAACCGACUGUAGUCAUUUGUUCUGUUUUGUUGUUAUAAAGAAGGCCAAGUAAAGCUGGCAAAGGCAAAGUUACUCACAUAAAAUGGGGCGAAUUCUUGCGGCUUUGGGACGGAGCCUACCAGAGGCACCAUUCACUGAGCUUCCAAUUCCUAAUCCACGUGCCCCAAAGAUUGAGACAAGAGUCACAGUGCACCGGGCACAGACACUUCCCUUGUUGGGCAGAAGAGGCAGAGCAUUAUCUGCAGGAUCACAGGCCAGGAAAAAUGCAUCAGAGCUGCAAACCGUCCUGGGUCCCUCUGGGCGCGUUGUCUACGAGACGGUCAAACAGAACAAGGGUCCGUCGCGAAGGGCGAUGCGGAAGUCUGGCCGCUUCCUCGAAUUUCAUCCCGAGAAGGCGGAAGGUUGCGUUACCUCGAGACCUCCCUCGGCAGCUGUUUCUGUAUGGGUGUCAUGGAUUAACUGAUUGAAAUCGCUGAUUGACCACCUCCUACAUGUCAGCGUCCAGCCAGGCUGAGGAUACAAGAUGACUGAGACAGAGGUCCUGCCCGUGAUGAUAUCCUCUCUCGUGAGAGAGCCAGACACCCAAGGAAGAGGU
rnacentral:lncRNA from 1 species